UCCCUUUCAUCAAUUAUGGCCUCAUUGAAGGCAAUUUCAUUAUCCAGAAGCAAAACCUCUUGCCUCUUCUGAAGAAAAGGUUGGAUAUCCUGAUCCAUCCCAGGUACCACAUAUUCGGAGCCGGACGCGACAGGCAGAGACGAUGCAGGAAGAGAAGGGGAGUAAGUGGAUUCGCGCUCAGAGGCAAGCUGUUGUACUUUCUGGAAUUCCUGCAAUGUGGUUUGGAAAUCCCUUGCAAGCUU
rnacentral:misc_RNA from 1 species